rnacentral:rRNA from 1 species
UACGUAGGUGGCAAGCGUUGUCCGGAUUUACUGGGCGUAAAGAGCGCGCAGGCGGUCGUUCAAGUCGCGUGUGAAAGCCCCCGGCUCAACUGGGGAGGGUCACGCGAUACUGAUCGACUCGAAGGCAGGAGAGGGUAGUGGAAUUCCCGGUGUAGUGGUGAAAUGCGUAGAUAUCGUGAGGAACACCAGUGGCGAAGGCGACUACCUGGCCUGUUUCUUGACGCUGAGGCGCGAAAGCUAGGGGAGCAAACGGG